GGCUUUGAGUCGCGAUCGGCCCCGUGUGGGUGUGUAUUAGCGAAUCGAGGCCAUCCUCGGGGAAUGCGUAUCUGUCAUUCAGUUGAUGGGUACGAGUACCUCGUCAUUUACUGUGAGCAAAAUAGAGUGUUCAAAGCAGGCUUACGCCGUUGAAUACAUUAGCAUGGAAUAAUAAGAUAGGACCUUGGUCUAUUUUGUUGGUUAGUACUCCAAGGUA
rnacentral:rRNA from 1 species